CCUUGCUGGCAGGACUCUCCCCAGCUUACUCCCAGCCUGCAGGCACUACAGUAUUAUACAUGAGCAGUCGUGCCUGGCUUAACACCACCUCACUGGUACUCAGCAAAGCCGUGUUCUAACAUGAGUUAAUGCCCUAGAAACGCAGGGCCAAGAAACACUUAAAAAAAAAAAAGUGUAAUUAGCCUCUAAUUAGAAAUGUUACUUGCAACCACUGGCAUUUGAGCUGGGUCAUCUAAAACCAGUGGGGAAACACCAGUCAGUCUGCAUUCUCAUGCCCAGCUGCAAAAGUACCCUCUGUAACACUUCUGCAAGUGUGAAAACAUUAACACAGCCUGCUAGGUGGUGUUUUCUUUUUGCCCAAGUUCCUUGGUCUCUGAAGUGAAAGCAUCCAGCUGCCUGCUUCAUACACACCAAGUGCCAGAGGCUGGCCAAAGCAUUCGCAUGGAAACAGUGCGUCUUUGCAUAUGGACCCUCCCGCUUAGGGUAUGCCCUGUGCCAGCAUUCACUGAGGGCAGAUGUUUCCUUGCUCGGGACUGCGUUCCCACUCACCUCGUCUGCCGGUUCCCAGCCCUGCUGUGGCUCUGCCAGCAAACAAGCUUGUUGAAAGGACUGCUUUUUACUAAAGGCCUCCUUGAUUGUCAGCAGCUCACCCAGCCCCAACAACAGCUUCACAGAAGCUACCUCCCUGCACCCUCACAGCUUUGGCAUUUUGUCUCCACCCUGCUAAGACAGCUAGCAUGGAUGUGUUUUAACAGUGUUGCUAACACAUGGGCAUCCAUCAGCUGGAUGCCAGAGCUCAUGCCCUGCUGAGACAGCCUCCAGUGAAGUCUCACCUAGCUUGAACCUUCACCAAGGUGCAAUGCGAGCUGGUGACUGGCAGGGGAUAGACUGCUGGCUGCAUCUUCAGCGAGACCGACCCUGUGAGCCUCAGACCUUCAAUCGCACCACAGAGCCAACGUCCUGAUGCCUGCACCGUCACGUUUCCCUCAGCUUGAGCUUGCCCUGGAACUGAAACUCCUCCUCUCCUGCAAAUGGAAGAGCCACACAGCCAUGUCCAGCAAAGGAAACGACGAUGCAGAGCAGGAAUUUGGGCACAGCCACUGUGUAACAGGCUCUUGACCACCCACCCUUGGAAGUGGAGCUGGCAGCGAGGGAAGAGGGAUUGUGCAGCCCAGCAGGGAGGGUGCUGCCCUCCCUUCUACUACAAAGCAACCUCCGCCUUGAACAGCUCUCCGAUGGGAGGACUGGCUCCGUUUUCCCUCUGUGGGAAUGUUGUGAGACCUGAUUAGAGCUUAAACAACCUCUUAAGGAAGGGACACAGCAAUUUAUACCUUUCCUGUUGGUCCCACCUGUCUUAGCAGGAAAUAAUUAGGCACAUUGCUGCUUUUAAAACAGUCUUGAAUCAGCUUAUGAAAUAGAGCUGGCCAAAGCAAAAAUAACCCCCAAACUUCUAAUUAAAAAGAGAAACAGUUUAGACAGUUUUUUUUUUUUAAACCAGCUGGGGAAGGGAGAAAGAAUUUCACUGAAAAAAGUCCAACUUGCUGUAGUUUAGAAAAAUUCAUACUUACGUUUUCUGUGAAAACUGCUCUUUGACAGAAAAAAGAUGCACAAAAAUAUUCGUAGGAGUCAAAAGUUUACAGCAAUGUCUCUAGCGACUGCUCCUUCCUUUCUAAGCUCUCUAGGCCUCCAAAGAAGAAAGUUAAAAAGAAAAAAAAAAAAAAAAGCAAGUCGUUGCUGUCAGUGUAAUAUGAGAACAAGCAGGCUGCAAGUUUUCCACCCACCCCUUCCCUUCACAGUGGCUUUAUCCAGG
ensembl:lncRNA